GUGGAUGGAAGGAUAGAAUUGAUAGGCAUAGGUUCUAAGAUAUACAGCCUCUCGAUCAGACACUUUCCAGUUCGUGGCUUCGUGACUCGGAGUUGGACUCAUCUCUCUCUUUUCCCUCACUAAACCCUAACUCCCAGGUACCCACAUUUCUUCCAUCCUUUUCUAGCUGUUAAAUCUCUGGCAGUCAUUUUUUUUUUCUCAUUUAAAACCAUCGCUAUAAACCCAUGUCACUUUUUUCAUUAACUCGCCAUUUCUCCUUCUCAAUCAAGCCCAAAACCCCCAAAAUCUCAACUUUACACUUCGCUACCACUUCCCUGGGAGAGAAACUUGAUGCCCAUCUGCAAAACAGUCCUAACAACGUAGAGAAAACCCUCAAUUCACUCGCACCUAUUAAACUUGACAACAAAUAUGUCAACGACAUCAUACACAGAUGGUCCCUUAAUAACGUUCAAUUGGGUCUUAGGUUUUUUAUCUGGGCUGGUGAUCAACCAAAUUAUAGGCAUAAUUUAUAUAUCUAUAAUAAAGCAUGUAGCUUGUUUAAGAUUAAGCAAAACCCGCAAGUUAUUUUGGAUUUAAUUGAGACUUAUAAGCUGGAGAAGUGUGUGGUUUGUGUUGACACUUUUAAGGUUGUUUUGAGGCUGUGCAAAGCGGGUGGGCUCGCUGAUGAGGCUUUAAUGGUGUUAAAGAAAAUGCCUGAAUUUAAUAUACGUCCAGAUACUACUGCUUAUAAUCUUGUUAUUAGGUCGCUUUGUGAGAAGGGUGAUGUGGAUAUGGCUAAAAAAUUGAUGGGAGAGAUGGGUUUGAUUGAUCUUUAUCCCGAUAUGAUAACAUAUGUCUCGAUGAUUAAAGGGUUUUGUGAUGUGGGUAGAUUGGAGGAGGCUUGUGCGUUGUUCCCAGUAAUGAGUGUGCAUGGCUGUUAUCCUAAUGUAGUGGCAUAUUCGGCACUUCUUGAUGGGAUUUGUAGGUUUGGGAUUGUUGAGAGGGCAUUUGAGUUGUUAGCAGAGAUGGAGAAGCAAGGUGGGGGAUGUCGUCCAAAUGUUAUCACGUACACCUCUGUGAUUCAGAGUUUUUGUGAGCAAGGUAGAACAAAGGAUGCACUGUCAGUUUUGGAAUUAAUGGAGGUUCGUGGGUGUGCUCCAAAUCGUGUCACUGCUAGUGCUUGGAUAAAUGGUAUUUGUAUGAAUGGCCAGCUACAGGAUGUGUAUAAUUUUAUCGAGAGAAUUGUUGCGAGAGGUAGUGUUUCGAUUGGUGACUGCUAUAGUUCUCUUGUGGUGUGUUUGAUAAAGAUUAAGAAAGUGGAGGAAGCAGAGAAGACCUUUAGGAGGGCUUUAUCUAGUGGGAUGAAGCCUGAUAGUUUGGCAUGCAGUAUGAUGAUUAGGGAGAUUUGUUCGGAGAAACGAGUGCUUGAUGGGUUUUGUUUAUAUGAAGAAGUUGAGAAAACAGGAUGCUUGUCUUCCAUUGACAUCGAUAUAUAUUCUAUUCUUUUAGCUGGGCUUUGUCAACAAUGCCAUUCAGCAGAAGCUGCAAGGCUUGCAAGGUCGAUGCUUGAAAAAAGAAUUCCUCUCAGAGCUCCUUAUGUUGAAAAAAUAGUUGAACACCUGAAUAAUUUUGGAGGGAAGGAGCUUGUAGCUGAAUUAGUUAGCAUGGUAAGGUGAUGCUGAACUAAAGACAAUUUAUUAAUGUUUAGCGGUUGUUUCUUAUUUUAGAGCAGGAUUAUCAAUACACAGUAAGGUUCUAGUUCAGAUGGAUCAUGCAUGAAAUAAGAGUUCAUUAAAAGGAAACAUAGAUCACACAUCUUGUCUUGUUCCUGGUAAAUUGUGGAAUCUUAGAAGUUAAUUCUAGCUAUCAUCAACUGCUGUUAUCAUGAACUGAAGUGCAAAGUAAACCGGGUUCUGAAAAUGGAGUACUGUGAGGCAGCCACUGACUGUUGUUUGCAGAAUAAUUCCAGCAGAUUAUGAUUUAAUGGUAAAAUAGCCCUACACUGGAGACCUGCUCAAAGAAUGUGGUUGCCUUGGCCAUUUCUCUGCCAGUUGCUAGGAUGAAGACAUUGAGGCUGCUGUAGAGCAGGAGGAGCUCCCAUGAAUGUUUGCGCUCAAUUUUAUCAUAAAAAGUGAUAAAAACAAAAGGAUAGAAGAUUGUUGGUAGAUUAAGUAGUUAGGCAGAAAGCUCAAAGUUCUCCAUUCUAAUAAGAGGCCAUAUUUAAUUUGAAGAACAGAGUUUCAGAUGGACAUAGGAUGAUGGAAAGGAAGUUUCCUAUAGUAUGCCAUGCUGAUAUUUGUACAAUUCAGGAAGAUGUCUUCAUGUGUAGCUCUAAGAAUUGUAAGCUCUUAACUCUGAAAUAUCAUUGUUCACUUGCCUUUCUGCUUUGUCUGA